CCUACGGGUGGCAGCAGUGGGGAAUAUUGCACAAUGGGGGGAACCCUGAUGCAGCGACGCCGCGUGGGUGAAGGCGUAUUUCGGUAUGUAAAGCCCUAUCAGCCGGGAAGAACAAUGACGGUACCUGACUAAGAAGCACCGGCUAAAUACGUGCCAGCAGCCGCGGUAAUACGUAUGGUGCAAGCGUUAUCCGGAAUUACUGGGUGUAAAGGGAGCGCAGGCGGGGCGGUAAGCCUGGUGUGAAAGCCAGCGGCCCAACCGCGGGACUGCAUUGGGAACUGGAGCGCUGGAGUGACGUAGGGGUAGGCGGAAUGCCUAGUGUAGCGGUGAAAUGCGUAGAUAUUAGGAGGAACACCAGUGGCGAAGGCGGCCUACUGGACGGUGACUGACGCUGAGGCUCGAAAGCGUGGGGAGCAAACAGGAUUAGAUACCCCUGUAGUC
rnacentral:rRNA from 1 species